rnacentral:rRNA from 1 species
CAUGCUAUCGGUUUACUGGGCGUAAGCGCACGCAGGCGGUUGGAUAAGUUAGAUGUGAAAGCCCCGGGCUCAACCUGGGAAUUGCAUUUAAAACUGUCCAGCUAGAGUCUUGUAGAGGGGGGUAGAAUCCAGGUGUAGCGGUGAAAUGCGUAGAGAUCUGGAGGAAUACCGGUGGCGAAGGCGGCCCCCUGGACAAAGACUGACGCUCAGGUGCGAAAGCGUGGGGAGCAAACAGGAUUAGAUACCCUGGUAGUCACGCCGUAAACGAUGUCGAUUUGGAGGCUGUGUCCUUGAGACGUGGCUUCCGGAGCUAACGCGUUAAAUCGACCGCCUGGGGAGUACGGCCGCAAGGUUAAAACUCAAAUGAAUUGACGGGGGCCCCACAAGCGGUGGAGCAUGUGGUUUAAUUCGAUGCAACGCGAAGAACCUUACCUGGCCUUGACAUGUCUGGAAUCCUGCAGAGAUGCGGGAGUGCCUUCGGGAAUCAGAACACAGGUGCUGCAUGGCUUCGUCAGCUCGUGUCGUGAGAUGUUGGGUUAAGUCCCGCAACGAGCGCAACCCUUGUCCUUUGUUGCCAGCACGUAAUGGUGGGAACUCAAGGGAGACUGCCGGUGAUAAACCGGAGGAAGGUGGGGUGACGUCAAGUCAUCAGGGCCCUUACGGCCAGGGCUACACACGUGCUACAAUGGCGCGUACAGAGGGCUGCAAGCUAGCGAUGGUGAUCGAAUGCCAAAAAGCGCGUCGUACCCCGGAUGGAGUCCGCACUCGACUCCGUGUUUCGGGAAUCGCUUGUAAUCGCAAAUCAGAAUGUUGGGUGAUACGCUCCCCCCGGGGUAUCU